UACGUAGGGGGCGAGCGUUGUCCGGAUUCAUUGGGCGUAAAGCGCGCGCAGGCGGCUCGGAAAGUCGGGUGUGAAAACCUGGGGCUCAACCCCGGGCGUGCAUCCGAUACUGCCGGGCUUGAGGCAGGUAGGGGAGAUCGGAAUUCCUGGUGUAGCGGUGAAAUGCGCAGAUAUCAGGAGGAACACCGGUGGCGAAGGCGGAUCUCUGGGCCUGUCCUGACGCUGAGGCGCGAAAGCUAGGGGAGCGAACAGG
rnacentral:rRNA from 1 species